rnacentral:lncRNA from 1 species
CUCAUUUGGGAAAGCAACUAGGGUUUGGUGCUCAAAUAAUGGGAUUCGGAGCCUCUGAAGUUUGCCGUGGGGGGAGUGAAUGAGGCCUCAAAAAAGAGAGAUGGGAUGAGGCUGGUUGCCCUCUGACCACCAGAGCCCAUGAUUUCUCCUCCACAAUCAACCACCCUCUCUCUCUCUCUCUCUCUUGAUUGUGUGUGCGCGCGCGCGCGCAUGCUUGCUGGGAGCUCAUAAUUUCAGGAAAGAUCAGUCAGAGCUCCCGAGGAAACAGGGCAUGAAAAUGGAAAUGGAAACAAGUAUCUAAUUGUCCAAAUGCUCCACCUCAUCAGGUGUUUACCCAUUUAGCAUUUCCCAUUUUUUUCGUACGCACCAGCCUUCCCAGUACUAAAUAGGCUGUGACGAUGGAUUCUGAGGAUGAUGGUUCGGGCCUGGAGGAUCCGACCCCCGGUUCAUGGCGGGGGCAACCUGUUGUUGCAGCCAUGGGCGGAGUCGGGUUGUCGCCCGUCAUACCACGAUCUGAGCCUACCCCCCCCCCCCCCUUCUCUCUCUCUCUCUCUCUAGAUGUUUGGGCUUUAAGCAUACCAAACGGAUCCUAAGUAGGCUGUGACGAUGGAUUGAUGAGCACUGAUUGGUUCGGGCCUGGAGAAAUCUGACCGUUUCCUGCCGGUGCAACCUGUUGUUACAGUCACGGCGGCGGAGUCGGGUUUUCGCCGAUCAUACACAGAUCUGAGCCAACCCCCUCUCGUUAUAGAUGCUGGUGUUGUUACUUGAGUAGUAUUAUUUGUUGGAUUUCGAUUUUAUUGAUAUCUCUUGAUCUCUUCUGUGGUACAAAAAUAGGGGUUAAUUUAUUGAAUUUGAAACUGGGUUGCUGCGAUUAAAAUAACAAUCAAUGAAAAAAUUAUUUUAAAUAUUUUUUUCGACAAUACAUAGAUAUGAGCCUAACCCUUUUUUCUCUACGCAUAUAUAUUUUGGUUAUUGAUUUAUUUUUUUAUUAAAAAAACAUAUGUUAGAGUAUUCUCACAAGUCCAAUCGAAAUCUCUUUAUUUUAUUUUCAAGAAAUUUUUUUUCAAAAAAAUUAUUUUAUCACUUUCCGUAUUUACCAUAAACUUAGUGAGAUAUCUGAAAGUGCCAGUUCUUAGAAAUGGAUUGAUUGAGUUCAAAGAGAAUGGAAGAGGACUGGUUUUACAAUUAAGUUGGGGAGAAUGGUCCCCUUAUAAAAGAGAUCUAUAUGCAAAUUUCUUUUGAGUUUCAAAAAUCGAGCAAGGUCUAUUUUUGGAUUGCAUGAUGCUGUUAAGUAUUUUGGUAUAUUUUGACGAUAUAAAUUUAUAGGUCUUAUCAAGAAUUUUAAUUUUGUUAAAAUUAAAUAUAAACGGUAGAUAAUAUUAAUUUAUAUAAAAGUAAAUAAGUAUAAUUUAAUGUGUUCAUAUUCUGUUAUUGUACAGUACAAUUGAAACAACACAAUUUCAGUCAAGGUGUAUUUCAGACAAUUUCAGGCUAGGUGUAUUUCAGACGAGGUGUGUCCUUCAAGAAUCGAUCAAAAUUAACCAAUGAAAGUUUCAAAACUUAAAUUUUUUAACUUUUUUUAAAUAGAAGUAAAAGUUGUGAUAAAUAUAGUAUAAUUUUUAAAAUAGUUAACACAAAUUUUAAAAUAUAAAAAAAAUAAAAAUUACAGCAAAUUGACAAUUCUAACAAUAAUUUAAAUGGUCCCAUUUUGGAAAGUUAAGAAAAAGUGGCUUCGCUUGUAACUUUUGAUGAUUUUUUUCUUUCACGCAAUUGAUUUAGCUAAUACGAACUUGACUAUUGGUUGGCUAUGGCCACAAUGGUUGGGUAAAGCCAGUCCAUUCACCCACUUGGGCUCCAGAAUUAGAGUCCCCAGGGCCUAGACAACCCCAGAGAUGAAUGGGCUCUUAGGCCCCCCUAGAUCUGACCGCCCGAGUCUUGAGAGAUUAUUGGUAUUCUAAGAAACGUGUAUACUUUUUAUUCAUAAAAAUGACAUAUCUACACGUGUUAGUUCAUAAUUAAAUAAAAAAAAAUAUGCGUUACUAGUCAUAAAAAAUUUUUUUUUCCAGAAAAAAAAAAAAAAAAAAAAAUAAUAGAUACACCCAAUUAUACAAGUUAUCCAAAUGUAGAGCGUCAUUAUGAUUGUUCUAAAAGUACUAAAUAAUUUUUCUGAAGUUCUCACACCUUAUCAAUCCGUAAAUCUAAUUACCAGGCUACGUCUUGCUACACUCGAGGGGUGAGUGGGAAUGGCUGCUCUCUCAACCCCAAUUUCCUUAAAAUUGGACUACUUGAGUAGGAUGGAAGGCUGGCGUGACUUCUCUUAGGCUCCGUUUGGCACUAGUUUUUUUCAAUUUAAUUUAAUAUUAUAUUAAAAUUUUUACUUUUUUUCUUUUUGUUAGUUUUUGACUUAAAAUAAGCAAAAAGAAAUCAAUAAGAGUGGUUUAUUGUUUUUUUAUUUUUAUUUUUUUAUUUAGUUUUAGCUAAAAUAAAGUCACAAAAGCAUAAAAACUAAAAAAUCUUGACCUUUUUGAGCAAAUUUAAAAAAAACUUAGUUUUGAUGCAUUACCAAACAGAAACCUAGUCGAGACGCAUGAUCCUUUUUCAGUAUGGAGCCUUGCGAAGAAAGAGAGUGAUGAUAUACUGGAGUCUUGUCCAAAAAA